rnacentral:misc_RNA from 1 species
AGAGUUAAACAGUACGUGAAAUUGUUGAAAGGGAAACGAUUGAAGUCAGUCGUGCUGGCGCGAAAUCAGCUCGGCCACUAGGGGAUUACGAACCGUAGCGAGCCUCAAAACCGCUACGGAUCGUGAUCGCUUGGUGGCCUGGUGCACUUUCGUGUCGGCUGGUUAACAUCAAUUUCGAUCGUCAUAAAAAGGCUGGAGGGAUGUGGCUCCUUCGGGAGUGUUAUAACCUUUAGCGGAAUGUGGUGGUCGGGAUUGAGGUUUGCAACGAAUGCCUUCGGGGCUGUUCCACCUGGCCUCUCAUCGGCAUCCUGGCGGCGACAGCUUGCUGACGUUGUUAGGAUCAGCCUUCGAACAGGCUAGAGUGUGAGCAAAUUCGUUAAGGAUGUUAACGUAAUGGCUUUAAACGA